rnacentral:lncRNA from 1 species
AAUGUUAAGAUACACUAUCAACUGUGGGGGGGGGGGGGGUGUGGGAUGCACAGAGAGCAGCUGCUUACAGACACACAGGUCGCUUCGGAAGGUAAAAAUGAACAAAACUCACUGACGGCUCCCAGGAAGAGAACUGGUCGCCCAGGGAAUUGGAGUGAGGAGCCUGCGUCUCAUGGAAUACUCCUCUGCUGUACUUUUUACAAUUUUACGUACUAGUGAACGCAUUACCUAUUGGGGAAACACAAUUUCUUAAACUUUUAAAAACACUACGUGGGUAACAGAACAAAUAUUACCCUGAAGGAAGCAGCAGAAGGCACUUUACAGCUGAGGUGUCAAGUAUUUGCAGAAAACAUCAGAAACUGUCUCUCCCUUCAAUCUAUAUAUUUUAAGAGGAUAAAUGGUUUCAGCUUCUAAGUUCACUAGGAGACUUAAUACUUAAAAAAAGAAGACAACAACAACCUUAUUUCUAUCAUUCCCCUUUCCAGUUUAAACCUGACAGUU